UAUGAACUAUGCUAUGCUACAGUAAUUUGUUGUAAAUGUGAUGUAAUGUCAACGUAAUAGAAGAGACACCGUUUUUAUGAUCCUGUAUAGAGUCUUGGUAGCCAGUUUUUUUUUGCGGAGCUGCAGAAGUAGCGAGCCAUGGCCCAUGAGAGCGACCCUACUGUCAUAGUCGAUUAGAGGCUAUAACUCCAAAUUCAAAAUGUGCGCUUCGAAACGUAGUUGAACUAUAAAAAUUCUGGAGUUACAGCCAACUACAAAAAAAUCAUGCGAAGGCAUUUGAGCUACAAUCCAGGCCAACAACUUUGUGGACAGUACAAAAUUGUAGCAAU
rnacentral:lncRNA from 1 species